rnacentral:misc_RNA from 1 species
AAUGGAAUUGCCUGGAACUUCGAUUGUCCCUCCUUCUUCUAGUUGAUUUGAGUCAUGUUCAGUUCAAUGUUACAUAUUUAUUGUUUUGGAGAUUAAAACAAAAACAAGCAAAAAUAUUUUUAGAAUGGAAACUGGUGCAUUUUCAUUUGGCACCAAUUUUAUUAUCUACAAUAUUUGGUCACAUUUUACUUGUUUUGAGUGAAGAUAUAUAAGCAGAUUCAACAAGAUUUAAUUAAUUUCCUCAAAAAACAAAUUUUAGUUGAGGAGUUAGUGUUCCGGCCACCAUGUGUGCAACUGUCUAUCACCUACAUGUAGCUGUGAUACUGUGUGUAUAACUGCCAAUUCUAGGAAUGAGUGGAUAUGGAUGAAGAGUGCAAGAUUUAUUUUCUUUGGUUUGUUAACUGAAUGUUUUUUAUGUUUAUAAUCAGAAAAUAUACAUUUUGUUCACUUUGUUAUACAAUAAAUGAAUUAUAGAUGUA